rnacentral:lncRNA from 1 species
AUGGCCGAGCUGGAGCACUUGGGCGGGAAGCGGGCUGAGUCGGCGCGGGCGCGGCGGGCCGAGCAGCUGCGGCGCUGGCGGGGCUCGCCGACCGAGCAGGAGCCCGCUGACCGGCCGGGCGCGGGGCCGCAGGCUCGGCGCGGGGGCCCGCGGGUCCGCUUCGAGGACGGCGCUGUGUUCCUGGCCGCCUGCUCCAGCGGGGACACCGACGAAGUGAGGCGGCUCCUGGCCCGGGGCGCCGACGUGGACACGGCCAACGUGGACGGCCUGACCGCGCUGCACCAGGCCUGCAUAGACGAGAACCUGGAUGUGGUGAAGUUUCUGGUGGAGAACGGAGCCAGCGUCAACCAGCAGGACAACGAGGGCUGGACGCCCCUGCACGCGGCAGCGUCCUGUGGCUACCUCAACAUAGCAGAGUAUUUCAUUAACCAUGGAGCCUGCGUGGGCAUCGUCAACAACGAAGGCGAAGUCCCCUCUGACCUUGCAGAAGAGCCUGCCAUGAAGGACCUUCUUCUGGAGCAGGUGAAGAAGCAAGGGCUGGACCUCGAGCAGGCGCGGCGGCAGGAGGAACAGCAGAUGCUGCAGGACGCCCGCCAGUGGCUCAACAGCGGCAGGAUCGCCGACGUGAGGCAGGCGCGCUCGGGGGCCACUGCCCUGCACGUGGCUGCGGCCAAGGGCUACUCCGAGGUCCUCAGACUUUUGAUUCAGGCUGGCUGUGAGCUCAACGUCCAGGAUCACGAUGGGUGGACCCCGCUGCACGCGGCUGCGCACUGGGGCGUGAAGGAGGCCUGCUCCAUCCUGGCAGAGGCCCUCUGCGACAUGGACGUCAGGAACAAGCUGCUUCGAAGUGAAAAAGAGACACGGGAUAAGCUCAUCGAAUCAGACCUGAACAGCGAGCUGCACAGUAGACUCUUCAAGAACAAAGAGAAGAUGCUCUGUGAGGAGGAGACGCCCAAGUCCCAGCGAGCAGAGGAGGAGAGCAAAGAGUCCAGCAGCUCCAGCUCCGAGGAGGAUGAGGGGGAGGACGAGGCCUCGGAGUCAGAGGCCGAGAAGGAGGCGGGGGACCCUGAGGCCGUCCGUCCGCAGAGCGCGGGGGGCCGCCGCGUGUCAGAAGAUGGCGGGCCGGGCGCCGUCCCCAGCCGUCCCAGCUCUGACUGCGGGAGCAGCGUCGCGGAGCGGACCCCCGCAGCCCCGCAGAGCGCCGUCCCCGCCGCUUCCGCCAGGAGACCCUCCAGCCUCUUCAGCAAGCCGGAAGAGACCAGGGACGAGUCUCCGUGUUCGUGGAGGCUGGGCCUCAGGAAGACCGGCAGCCAGAAUGUGCUGAGCGAGGCCGCAGGGGCCAGGGAGGCCCUGCGGGACCGGGGCGCAUCUGUCCACCGCUCGGCCUCCAGCCCCCGCAUCUCCACCCUGAUGGAUAGCAGAGAAAAGGAGAGAGAAACCAGAAGCUCCUUGAGUUCACUGGGGCUGCGGAGGCCGGGCAGCACGAGCGACCUUGAAGAGAAGGAGAACAGAGAGUCAGCUGCUAACCUGGUGUGCAGUGGCUCCCAGCCCCGGCAGCCCUGGAGGGACGCAGCCAAGGGGAGCGAGGCCCCGCAGACGGUGGCUCCCUCCACCUACGUGUCGACCUUCCUGAAAAGGACCCCUUACAGGUCCCAGGCCGACUCCACGGCAGAGAGAGCCGACGGCCUCGCCUGCAGCAGCCCGCUCUGUGUGAUCACGAACCGCCCCCCGCCCAGCACUGUCCGCGGGGCUCCAGCCGCCGCGCCACUCUGCGCCCCUGGCCCCGAGCCCUCUGCGGAAGCCGGGCAGAGGAGGAGGUCGUAUCUGACUCCCGUCCGGGACGAGGAAGCAGAGUCCUUACGGAAGGCGCGCUCCAGACAGGCUCGGCAGACUCGAAGGUCUACCCAAGGCGUCACCCUCACGGACCUUCAGGAAGCGGAGAGGACGUUCAGCCGGUCAAGGGUAGAGCGUCAGGCUCAGGAGCAGCCCAGCCUGAAGCCCGUGGGUCCCGGAGCACUUGAGGGCGGCCCCCGGAAGCACGAGCCCUUGGCGGCCCCUGCCCAGGAAGCCGGGGAGAGCCACCAGCCCUGGGGCCGGAGCCCGGAGGGAGAGCGUCCAGGUCAGCCCGAGCAGCCCACGGCGCCGGCGUCCCCUUCCGCCCCGAGACCCUCGCUCUACACCAGCUCCUACCUGCUCCGGACGGGUGGGUCCUCUGCGCCCGCCGCGCAGAGCUCAGAGCCCCCCGCAGGCACUGCCGGGACGCGGGACAUGGACAGAAACGAGGGCGGAGAAGCAGAGCCGGGCGACCAGUCCUCCGGCAGGAUGUCCGUCCGCGAGAGGAGGCGGCCCCGGGAGCGCCGGCGGGGCACGGGCAUCAACUUCUGGACGAAGGACGAAGAUGAAACGGAAGUCCCGGAAGAGGUGAAGAAAGCGUGGCGUGAGCGACUCUCCAGGCUGGAAUCUGGAGGCAGCGACGCAUCCACUGAGCGGGCCUCAGCCAGAGCCCGCCGGGAGGCCCGCGAGGCCCGCCUGGCCACUCUGAGCAGCCGCGCAGAGGAGGACGGCAGUAGGGACUACAGGAAGCUCUACGAGAGCGCCCUGACCGAGAACCAGAAGCUGAAGACAAAACUUCAGGAGGCCCAGCUCGAGCUGGCGGACGUGAAGUCCAGGCUUGAGAAGAUGGCCCAGAAGCAAGACAAGACUCCUGAGCGGUCGUCGGCACUGGAGACGGAGAAGCGGGAGAGGCGGGCCCUGGAGCGGAAGAUGUCGGAGAUGGAAGAGGAAGUGAAGGUCCUGACAGAGCUGAAGUCCGACAACCAGAGGCUGAAAGACGAAAACGGUGCCCUCAUCAGGGUCAUCAGCAAGUUGUCCAAGUAG